ensembl:lncRNA
AUAGCUGUGGGCGAAAAGUCUGGAGAGAAUGCUUCCGGAACAUGGCCACUCGCAGCAAGCCAAUCGGAAUAAUGCUCCAGGAUGACCAUCGGGGAGCCCUCCGCACCCGCUGAGUUCACAAUAGCUGGCUGGCGACGGCGACAACCGGGCCCGCUCCUCUUUUCCAGGGAAGGGAAGGAUGGGGAGGGGAAGGCGGGCUCACAGGGAGCCCCAAAGGCCCAGAGAGGGAGCCCCGAAGGAAGCGGAGGAGAGGCGGAAUGGGAGCCCUCCUCGGGGCUGAAAGCGGCUCCCCGCCCAAGCUCCUGGCAGUCGUUGUCAUCCUGAGUGUUUGCUUCUUGUCGACUGAAGCCUUCUUGCAGCUGACAAAUAUCAAAAUGGAGCCAUCAGAGCCAAAGGAAGGAGGAAGUGUCCGCCUCACCCCAAACAACCUCCCUCCCGUCCCACUGAGCUGCCGCUGGUACCGAAGUGAAAUGUCCAAUAAUUGCACCAUCCUGAUUCGUUUCUUCUACCCACGCCCUAUGACUAGGAAGGAGUCAAGCUUCACUGGGCAUGAGACCAUGAGGUCUGACUGCUCCCUUGAGAUCAAAAACUUAAAAGCCAACGACUCUGAAAACUAUAUAGUCCUGAUUCAUGGCCGUGACGGAAUUCGGAUUGGGAGCAUGAAGUUUGCAAUCCCGGGUAGGCUUCUUUAACAUUUUAUACAAUAUGACACUUUAUAACAUUUUGUACAACAUAACGCUUUAU